UGCAAGUCGAACGGGAUGGCCCACAGAUACCCUGGAAGUUAGAGUGCUGCACAAAGAGUGGAAGAGGGUUGACGUGGAAUUCCAUCCAGUGGCAAACGGGUGAGUAACACGUGGGUUACCUACCUCUAAGACGGGGACAACAGUUGGAAGCGAUUGCUAAUACCGGAUGUGUUCUACGGAAUAAAGGGAGCCCUUAAAGCUCCGCUUAGAGAUGGGCCUGCGGUGCAUUAGAUAGUUGGUGAGGUAAUGGCUCACCAAGUCGACGAUGCAUAGCCGAACUGAGAGGUUAAACGGCCACACUGGGACUGAGACACGGCCCAGACUCCUACGGGAGACAGCAGUUAGGAAUAUUCGUCAAUGGGGGGAACCCUGAACGAGCAAUGCCGCGUGGAGGAAGAAAGGUCCUAUGGAUUGUAAACUUCUGUUGUAUGGAAAGAACGGUAUAUAUAGGAAAUGAUAUAUAAUUGACGGUACCAUAUAAGAAAGCCACGGCUAACUACGUGCCAGCCGCCGC
rnacentral:rRNA from 1 species